GUGUCAGCCGCCGCGGUAAUACUUAGGGAGCAAGCGUUGUCCGGAUUCACUGGGUGUAAAGGGUGCGCAGGCGGACUGUGCAAGUCGGUGGUGAAAUCUUGCGGCUUAACCGCAAAAUUGCCUCCGAUACUGCCAGUCUUGAGUUCGGGAGAGGUCGAUGGAAUUCCAGGUGUAGCGGUGAAAUGCGUAGAUAUCUGGAAGAACACCAGUAGCGAAGGCGGUCGACUGGCCCGUAACUGACGCUCAGGCACGAAAGCGUGGGUAGCAAACAGGAUUAGAUACCCUGGUAGUCCACGCCCUAAACGAUGUAUGCUUGGUGUUGGCUCGCAUGAGUCGGUGCCGUAGGUAACCUGAUAAGCAUACCACCUGGGGAGUACGCUCGCAAGGGUGAAACUCAAAUGAAUUGACGGGG
rnacentral:rRNA from 1 species